AAGUCGUAACAAGGUUUCCGUAGGUGAACCUGCGGAAGGAUCAUUACAAAAGUUAAACACUUGGGGAACGGACUCGCCUUUCGGGGCUCGAGGCCUGACUCCAUUUGUAACAAACUUUCAACCACUUGUGAAUUUGUAACAAAUUUUCUCACCAAUUGACUGUUAACGAAGUUAACAAAUUUUCUCACCAAUUGACUGUUAACGAAGUCUGAUUCAAAUUGUAUUGGUGUUUAUAGACACUAGUAAAAUAUGAAACAACUUUUGGCAACGGAUCUCUUGGCUCUC
rnacentral:misc_RNA from 1 species